rnacentral:rRNA from 1 species
GAUGAACGCUGGCGGCGUGCCUAAUACAUGCAAGUCGAGCGAACGGACGAGAAGCUUGCUUCUCUGAUGUUAGCGGCGGACGGGUGAGUAACACGUGGAUAACCUACAUAUAAGACUGGGAUAACUUCGGGAAACCGUAGCUAAUACCGGAUAAUAUUUUGAACCGCAUGGUUCAAAAGUGAAAGACGGUCUUGCUGUCACUUAUAGAUGGAUCCGCGCUGCAUUAGCUAGUUGGUAAGGUAACGGCUUACCAAGGCAACGAUGCAUAGCCGACCUGAGAGGGUGAUCGGCCACACUGGAACUGAGACACGGUCCAGACUCCUACGGGAGGCAGCAGUAGGGAAUCUUCCGCAAUGGGCGAAAGCCUGACGGAGCAACGCCGCGUGAGUGAUGAAGGUCUUCGGAUCGUAAAACUCUGUUAUUAGGGAAGAACAUAUGUGUAAGUAACUGUGCACAUCUUGACGGUACCUAAUCAGAAAGCCACGGCUAACUACGUG